GACGAACGCUGGCGGCGUGCCUAAUACAUGCAAGUAGAACGCACAGUUUAUACCUUAGCUUGCUACACCAUAGACUGUGAGUUGCGAACGGGUGAGUAACGCGUAGGUAACCUGCCUGGUAGCGGGGGAUAACUAUUGGAAACGAUAGCUAAUACCGCAUAAUAUUGAUUAUUGCAUGAUAAUUGAUUGAAAGAUGCUAUUGCAUCACUACCAGAUGGACCUGCGUUGUAUUAGCUAGUAGGUGAGGUAACGGCUCACCUAGGCGACGAUACAUAGCCGACCGGAGAGGGUGAGCGGCCACACUGGGACUGAGACACGGCCCAGACUCCUACGGGAGGCAGCAGUAGGGAAUCGUCGGCAAUGGACGAAAGUCUGACCGAGCAACGCCGCGUGAGUGAAGAAGGUUGUCGGAUCGUAAAGCUCUGUUGUAAGAGAAGAACGGGUGUGAGAGUGGAAAGUUCACACUGUGACGGUAUCUUACCAGAAAGGGACGGCUAACUACGUG
rnacentral:rRNA from 1 species